rnacentral:rRNA from 1 species
UUAAGCGACUAAGCGUACACGGUGGAUGCCCUGGCAGUCAGAGGCGAUGAAGGACGUGCUAAUCUGCGAUAAGCGUCGGUAAGGUGAUAUGAACCGUUAUAACCGGCGAUUUCCGAAUGGGGAAACCCAGUGUGUUUCGACACACUAUCAUUAACUGAAUCCAUAGGUUAAUGAGGCGAACCGGGGGAACUGAAACAUCUAAGUACCCCGAGGAAAAGAAAUCAACCGAGAUUCCCCCAGUAGCGGCGAGCGAACGGGGAGCAGCCCAGAGCCUGAAUCAGUAUGUGUGUUAGUGGAAGCGUCUGGAAAGGCGCGCGAUACAGGGUGACAGCCCCGUACACAAAAAUGCACAUGCUGUGAGCUCGAUGAGUAGGGCGGGACACGUGGUACCCUGUCUGAAUAUGGGGGGACCAUCCUCCAAGGCUAAAUACUCCUGACUGACCGACAGUGAACCAGUACCGUGAGGGAAAGGCGAAAAGAACCCCGGCGAGGGGAGUGAAAAAGAACCUGAAACCGUGUACGUACAAGCAGUGGGAGCACGCUUAGGCGUGUGACUGCGUACCUUUUGUAUAAUGGGUCAGCGACUUAUAUUCUGUAGCAAGGUUAACCGAAUAGGGGAGCCGAAGGGAAACCGAGUCUUAACUGGGCGUUAAGUUGCAGGGUAUAGACCCGAAACCCGGUGAUCUAGCCAUGGGCAGGUUGAAGGUUGGGUAACACUAACUGGAGGACCGAACCGACUAAUGUUGAAAAAUUAGCGGAUGACUUGUGGCUGGGGGUGAAAGGCCAAUCAAACCGGGAGAUAGCUGGUUCUCCCCGAAAGCUAUUUAGGUAGCGCCUCGUGAAUUCAUCUCCGGGGGUAGAGCACUGUUUCGGCAAGGGGGUCAUCCCGACUUACCAACCCGAUGCAAACUGCGAAUACCGGAGAAUGUUAUCACGGGAGACACACGGCGGGUGCUAACGUCCGUCGUGAAGAGGGAAACAACCCAGACCGCCAGCUAAGGUCCCAAAGUCAUGGUUAAGUGGGAAACGAUGUGGGAAGGCCCAGACAGCCAGGAUGUUGGCUUAGAAGCAGCCAUCAUUUAAAGAAAGCGUAAUAGCUCACUGGUCGAGUCGGCCUGCGCGGAAGAUGUAACGGGGCUAAACCAUGCACCGAAGCUGCGGCAGCGACACUAUGUGUUGUUGGGUAGGGGAGCGUUCUGUAAGCCUGUGAAGGUGUACUGUGAGGUAUGCUGGAGGUAUCAGAAGUGCGAAUGCUGACAUAAGUAACGAUAAAGCGGGUGAAAAGCCCGCUCGCCGGAAGACCAAGGGUUCCUGUCCAACGUUAAUCGGGGCAGGGUGAGUCGACCCCUAAGGCGAGGCCGAAAGGCGUAGUCGAUGGGAAACAGGUUAAUAUUCCUGUACUUGGUGUUACUGCGAAGGGGGGACGGAGAAGGCUAUGUUGGCCGGGCGACGGUUGUCCCGGUUUAAGCGUGUAGGCUGGUUUUCCAGGCAAAUCCGGAAAAUCAAGGCUGAGGCGUGAUGACGAGGCACUACGGUGCUGAAGCAACAAAUGCCCUGCUUCCAGGAAAAGCCUCUAAGCAUCAGGUAACAUCAAAUCGUACCCCAAACCGACACAGGUGGUCAGGUAGAGAAUACCAAGGCGCUUGAGAGAACUCGGGUGAAGGAACUAGGCAAAAUGGUGCCGUAACUUCGGGAGAAGGCACGCUGAUAUGUAGGUGAAGCGACUUGCUCGUGGAGCUGAAAUCAGUCGAAGAUACCAGCUGGCUGCAACUGUUUAUUAAAAACACAGCACUGUGCAAACACGAAAGUGGACGUAUACGGUGUGACGCCUGCCCGGUGCCGGAAGGUUAAUUGAUGGGGUUAGCGCAAGCGAAGCUCUUGAUCGAAGCCCCGGUAAACGGCGGCCGUAACUAUAACGGUCCUAAGGUAGCGAAAUUCCUUGUCGGGUAAGUUCCGACCUGCACGAAUGGCGUAAUGAUGGCCAGGCUGUCUCCACCCGAGACUCAGUGAAAUUGAACUCGCUGUGAAGAUGCAGUGUACCCGCGGCAAGACGGAAAGACCCCGUGAACCUUUACUAUAGCUUGACACUGAACAUUGAGCCUUGAUGUGUAGGAUAGGUGGGAGGCUUAGAAGUGUGGACGCCAGUCUGCAUGGAGCCGACCUUGAAAUACCACCCUUUAAUGUUUGAUGUUCUAACGUUGACCCGUAAUCCGGGUUGCGGACAGUGUCUGGUGGGUAGUUUGACUGGGGCGGUCUCCUCCUAAAGAGUAACGGAGGAGCACGAAGGUUGGCUAAUCCUGGUCGGACAUCAGGAGGUUAGUGCAAUGGCAUAAGCCAGCUUGACUGCGAGCGUGACGGCGCGAGCAGGUGCGAAAGCAGGUCAUAGUGAUCCGGUGGUUCUGAAUGGAAGGGCCAUCGCUCAACGGAUAAAAGGUACUCCGGGGAUAACAGGCUGAUACCGCCCAAGAGUUCAUAUCGACGGCGGUGUUUGGCACCUCGAUGUCGGCUCAUCACAUCCUGGGGCUGAAGUAGGUCCCAAGGGUAUGGCUGUUCGCCAUUUAAAGUGGUACGCGAGCUGGGUUUAGAACGUCGUGAGACAGUUCGGUCCCUAUCUGCCGUGGGCGCUGGAGAACUGAGGGGGGCUGCUCCUAGUACGAGAGGACCGGAGUGGACGCAUCACUGGUGUUCGGGUUGUCAUGCCAAUGGCACUGCCCGGUAGCUAAAUGCGGAAGAGAUAAGUGCUGAAAGCAUCUAAGCACGAAACUUGCCCCGAGAUGAGUUCUCCCUGACUCCUUGAGAGUCCUGAAGGAACGUUGAAGACGACGACGUUGAUAGGCCGGGUGUGUAAGCGCAGCGAUGCGUUGAGCUAACCGGUACUAAUGAACCGUGAGGCUUAACCUU